AUUUCAUCCAAAAAAAGGGUACAUUAAAGGACAAAAAAUGGCAAGGACCUAAUAGAAGCAGAACAGAUUACAAAAACGUGACAAGAAUACACAGAAUAACUGUACAAAAAAGCUCUUAAUGACCCAGGUAACCAUGAUGGUGUGGUUAU